rnacentral:tRNA from 1 species
GCUUGGGUAGUUUAAUUAAAAUGUUGAUUUGUGGGGUCGAGGAUGUAUAAUGUUUACCCCAGGUA